rnacentral:misc_RNA from 1 species
AAAAAAAUUAUGGAGUUCUGGCUUGAAUUCAUAACUUGCUUAAAGAUUGCUAGCAUUUGUAAAUGAAAUUGAUUAAAAAUGUUCUUUAUUAGGGUUGUCUCACAUGCAGGAAAUGGAGAUAUGGAUUGCAGGUAUUCAGGGACAGCACCAAGUUAAUGGAUUUAGGAUUAAAUAUGAUGGAUCAAUUGCUGGAGAAAAGGCUAGGCAAUUAUGUAAGCAUUAGGGUUUGAAUGUGCAAUUAUUA